UACGAAGGGGGCUAGCGUUGUUCGGAAUCACUGGGCGUAAAGGGCGCGUAGGCGGCUUUAUAAGUCGGGGGUGAAAUCCUGGAGCUCAACUCCAGAACUGCCUUCGAUACUGGCGAGCUCGAGUUCGGGAGAGGUGAGUGGAACUGCGAGUGUAGAGGUGAAAUUCGUAGAUAUUCGCAAGAACACCAGUGGCGAAGGCGGCUCACUGGCCCGAUACUGACGCUGAGGUGCGAAAGCGUGGGGAGCAAACAGG
rnacentral:rRNA from 1 species